GCCCAAAUGGCGAAAUUGGUAGACGCGCAUGGUUCAGGUCCAUGCGCCUUCGGAUGUGGAGGUUCGAGACCUCUUUUGCGCA
rnacentral:tRNA from 1 species